CUUACGUAGUAAAUGUAUGCAGAUCUUAUUGGAAUUCCAUUAGCACCAGACAAUUGGUAUCCUUAAUUAUUGUAUGAGUGUUUAGGAAGAUCUAUACAUUACGAUCCACAUCCAAUUUUAGGAGCUUUUGAUUCUGUUAUCGUAAUGGAAGAGGUGAUUACAGCGCCUGUUUUGCCCUCCAAUCUCCCUCUUCUUUCUGCUUUCCUCUCUUUGUUCAUCGCUCAGUUUCUCAAAGUCUUCACCCAUUGGUAGUAGUUUAAAGAACGAAAAUGGGAUACGAGAAGGAUGCUUACCUCAGGUGGCAUGCCAUCGUCACAUUCGGCAACAGUUACAUCUCUUGCUGCUUGCAUUGGAUUACAAGAGGGCAUUCGUUCAUCGUCGUUUGCCAUUGCAGUGGUUUUGGCAUGUGUUGUAACUAGUUACAAGUUACAACACUCGGAUUCCGUUCUUCAUAUUUCUGUUUGUUCAUUAUAGAUUUUGACAAAUGCUUUAGAUGAACACAUAUCUUGAUUCUGAUUGAGAUUAAUUUCUGUUUUACGGGAAAUUCUGUAGGAUCA